CACGUAGGCACCAAGCGUUGUCCGGAUUUAUUGGGCGUAAAGAGCUCGUAGGCGGUUCGGUAAGUCGGAUGUGAAAACUUUGGGCUCAACCCAAAGCGUGCAUUCGAUACUGCCGUGACUUGAGUUCGGUAGGGGAGUGGGGAAUUCCUAGUGUAGCGGUGAAAUGCGCAGGUAUUAGGAGGAACACCGGUGGCGAAGGCGCCACUCUGGGCCGAAACUGACGCUGAGGAGCGAAAGCGUGGGUAGCAAACAGG
rnacentral:rRNA from 1 species